rnacentral:tRNA from 1 species
AUUAUUAACUUCUAAUAUGACAGAAAAAAUGUAAUGAACUUAAAAUUCAUCUAUAAAGAUUAAUCUUUUUUUAGAAA